UAGACAUUCUCCUCUGAGAAGACAUCCUCUGAGGAAGAAAGAGGCUCAGGGAUGAGCUCAGAGAAAAACCGAAAGGACAAAGUUCAGAGGCUUAGCAAGGCAUUUAUUUGAUGCUAUUACCAUGACUGUUAACCAUGAGCGAUGCUGAAGAUACUGCCAAGAACAAGAUAAACAUGACCUCCGACUCCAGGGAGGUUAUACUUCCAGGCCCCUGUCUGCUCGUGUAUGAAUGAAGGAGCCACUGACAAAGUUGUGACAGGAAAAAAGAUGAGCUGAGAUCAUCUGAAUGGGCUGAGACGGUCUGUUUCAAGGUGGACUCUUCAGCUACUUCCCAC